GUCCACGCUGUAAACUAUGGAUGCUAGCUGUUAUGCGUAUCGACCCGCGUAGUAGCGAAGCUAACGCGUUAAGCAUCCCGCCUGUGGAGUACGGUCGCAAGACUAAAACAUAAAGGAAUUGACGGGGACCCGCACAAGCGGUGGAGCGUGUUGUUUAAUUCGACGAUAAGCGAAGAACCUUACCCAGGCUUGACAUCCUUGGAAGUUCUGCGAAAGCGGAACGUGCCUUUUGGAGCCAAGUGACAGGUGUUGCAUGGCCGUCGU
rnacentral:rRNA from 1 species